CCAGACUCCUACGGGAGGCAGCAGUAGGGAAUCUUUCACAAUGGGCGAAAGCCUGAUGGAGCAACGCCGCGUGCAGGAUGAAGGCCUUCGGGUUGUAAACUGCUUUUAUAAGCGAGAAAUAUGAUGGUAACUUAUGAAUAAGGAUCGGCUAACUACGUGCCAGCAGCCGCGGUAAUACGUAGGGGGCAAGCGUUAUCCGGAUUUACUGGGUGUAAAGGGGGCGCAGACGGCGAUGCAAGCCAGGAGUGAAAGCCCGCGGCGCAACCGCGGGACUGCAUUGGGAACUGCCGGGCUGGAGUGCAGGAGAGGUAGGCGGAAUUCCUAGUGUAGCGGUGAAAUGCGUAGAUAUUAGGAGGAACACCAGUGGCGAAGGCGGCCUACUGGACGGUGACUGACGCUGAGGCUCGAAAGCGUGGGGAGCAAACAGGAUUAGAUACCCUAGUAA
rnacentral:rRNA from 1 species